rnacentral:lncRNA from 1 species
AGGGCUACAGUCUUCCUGAGAAAAGGAUUAGAAAGAAAGGCACUUGAAGCUGGUGCAAAAUAUGAGCACUAUCUAGAACAACAGAGUAUGUCAGACUGGUAAAGAAGAGAAGCAAGGCAUGCUGACAAAAUCAAAGGGAAAAAAAAUCUUUGCAAAUUCAAAUAUCUGUGUGCUACCAAGUAUUCUGAAAUGAAAACAGCUUUUAAAGUUUGCCAAAAUAGGAAGCUACUUGUCAAGCUCCAGUAAUUUAUGUGCCAUUUGCUUAGAAGAGAAAGUCAACAUGGGAUGAUGCUCUAAUAACGUUUGUCAUGUGUUAGCAAUUACUUCAGUAUCACUUUUUAGAUCCCUUAAGUAUAUGUGUUACGCUUAUGUAUACUAGAAAAAAAAGUACAAAAGGCUAAAGAGAAGUUUUUAAGUUUAUAAAAUACAGAAAUUUUCUAGACUGGAGAAUUUCUACACAACUGACUGCUUUUUUAAACAGGUAUGAUCAAAACAGGAGUCUGUUUAAUUAUUCUGUAAGACCAAGAAGAAGCAAAUCACUACAGAAGAACGUAGUGUAACACUUCAAGAAAAGCAGUGCAUUGUUAACAGAGAAAUUUUACUCUGCUUUGAGAAUGAGAGUUUGGACUAAAUGACCUGUAGAUGUCCCUUCCAACCCCAACCAUUCUGCAAUUCUGUGAUUUUUUUCAAAGGAACAUCUCUGUUCUUUCUAAUAUGAUCUGCUUCAGGAAAAAAGGAGUGCUUGCUGGCCACAUCUUGUCUCCAGAGUGGGGUGAUGUCUAAUGUGGACUGAAAAUUGCACAAGAAGGAGAGCUGAAUGUGAGAGAUUGGAAGGCAGUUGCAGCAUAUGCAUCUUGCCUGGUCUCCAGUCUGGAUAGAAAACUAGACAAGCGAAAACUCAACUGUUCCUCUAUCUAUAUAGAACAAAUAACUUUUAAAUACUUUCACAAAUCCUUAACUCACUCCAUUAUGCCAGAUUAUGAGUAACCUCCUUCCUUCCUUAAUCAAAAAAGGUAAUGUAUUUCCUAAAAGAUUUGGAUUUUCAUUAAGGAUAAAAUGAU